UUACACUGGUGGGGUUUGCAUAAGUAAUUUUAACAUUGUUUGUUACGAUAGUUAUGAGAUUUUGAAAAUUGCGUCAUCGCAAACCACGUUACUACGGUUAACAUUUUUACUAAACUUGAACCCCUGCCUUUUACUAACAAUGCGAUAGUGUGAAGUGUCACCCUCCGAUUUGGUUGAAAUUUUGAAACCAUGUGGUCCAUGUCAAUACAAUCAGCAUUUCCGGCAGAUUGUGCAAUGGUUGGAAUUUCCCAAAAUAUUUUAGGACAAAGUUGAUUUUUACCGUGCGGAGGAAGCAAACUAAACUUCAAUUUUCCUCUCGGGCUAAGAAUCUCAUCUUUGUCAACUUUGCCCUCAAAUAUUUUGGAAAAUUCUCGCCAGAUCCACACAAACUGCCUGAAGAAAUGCUGAUUGUAUUGACAUGGACCACGUAAUUUCAAAAUGUCAACCAAAUCAGAGGCUUACACUUCACACGGUCGCAUUGUGAGUAAAACAAUUAAAAAAGUAAGUAUAUGUAUAUUUAUGUUGGUAUGUGUGUAUUUAUACAUAUAUGAUUAAAUAACUGCACAUCUUCACGCGCUAUAAAAUCAUUACAUAUUAGCCAUUAGCCAACGACCCAAAACCACGGGAAUGCGUAAAACUUAGGAGUAAACUGGUUCAUUCAUGAUUAGUAAGGUACCCUGCGUAAAGUCUGUCAUCGAUUUUGGACCGCGCAUACAUGGAUGAUCCAAUCAUGCUACAUUCCAUGUACUGCUAGAAACUUGGCAUUAAAUCAUUACUGAUCGGAUGAUUACCGACUCAACCGGCCCGGUAAUACAUACGAAAGUACAUCAUUAUCGUUUAGCAAGGCCGUGGUAAUGAAUAAUUUACCACUCACAAUUAAACAAGUCUCAAUCCGGUCGGAAGUUAGUACCAUACUCAAUACCAAUACGGAGAAGAUGUAUUACUCUACCAGAUUUUAAACUAGAAAUUCGAGGUUGUUGACAUAAUAUACUGCUAAGACCCCGAAAUCGGCAUACAUCUUUAACUAAUAAUAGCUGAUAUUGCACUUAUUGUAUGACAUGCAUGCGAGAGAACGUGGAGAUUACGUUUUAAUAGCCCAAGCCUUAUCAAUGCUGACGAGUGAAGACACGAAUCAAUGAAUGACUGAGUCAUCUUCUUGACCCAACGUUUAAUUCAUUACUUAUGUAAAGUUAGAUCUGUUUAGCAACUAGAUAACAUCAUACGACAUCCUGUUGUUUUUGUACAAUCGACAUUAUUGCGAACACUCGAUCUUUAUUCAAUCAUGGAACUUGGACUCCACACGACUAAAUUAAGUGAGAUGAUACAAUGUUGUUCUCAUUGGAAUAUUGGAAUGACCUACCCAUUUUUGUGUGAUAAUUGUGCAACGACGACCCACGUAAUGUACGGAUGAUAAUGAUAAUGUAGAAUUACUUGCCUUUUAAUUAAUCCACUUUUAAUUAUUACGACAACCACUUUUAGUUUAGCAAUCCUGAAUUGUGCAGGAUUUUAGUUUAGUUACGAGUUGAGAGUGAAGAUGUGAACUACUUCUUUUCUCAUUUAAUAAAUCAUCCAAUACAGCCUCAACGGGAAUGUGAGACUAAUAAUUAUUACGGGUACUUUGUAUAAAACCCCACAAGAAUCAGUGCAUCAAUUUUGUGUGUUAACAAUACGUACGUUCCCUAAAUAUUGACAUCGUGAAAUCGCAUACUGUGCUAUAUUACUGAAUUAUUCAUAACAGCCCAACUCCUCCCCCAUCUCCACCCACUCUUUCACCCUGGCCACUCUCGCCCUCUCCAGACUUCCCCCCAUGGCGGCAUACCCCACCAAAUUUGGAAAUAUUGCUGCAACCCUGUCCCAAAAUUCGGACGAGUCCCUCUCCUCGCCACACUCGCACAAACCUGUCGGCCCCUUACUACAUCCCGAACUUCUCCUCCUCUUCUUAAUCACGCUAAACUUGUCCCCCGGGGGGAACGGGACGUCCAACUCUUUCACCGUCACCCCCCUUGAAUUUCCUUCCCGGAGGAACGAAUUGUACAAAAAUCUCGCGCUCGUCUCAAAAUAUUCGAGCCGACUUAAAUCCCCGACCUCUCUUUCAUUCCGGAAAAUCGCAAUCUUUUCCAAGGAGGGGAACUGUUCUCGGUAAUUAAAUGUAUCACGUUCCCCCUCAAACUUUAGCCUCAACCCAGGCAUAAAAUUGCAACACUGGCAGAAUAUCAGCCCGCUGAAGGAACUCUGCACGAUGGCGAAUAUCUUCAACUUUGGCAUGACGGGAAAAACAGCGUCCUUUCCGGUGUCAAAGUAGGACGGGAAAUUGGUCAGGUCGAAGAAUUUGAGGUGUUCCAAGGUGGGCGAGGAGAGGGUUAGAAGUUUUGAAAUGUGGGGGGUAAUACCGUCCUCAGCGGCCAAUUCUAACCGGGUGAGGGAAGUGGUGUUCGGUUUCGGUCCGAUAAGCGUUCCUGUUCGAGAAAUAGAUAUUAAUCUCUUUAAUUCAAAAAUUGGGAAAAAAUAUUCAUUCAUUAUUCAUUCAUGCAAAUGGUGGAAGUUUGAAAUUAAAUAUUUUUAUUCA